rnacentral:lncRNA from 1 species
AAAACAUCGACACCGCAGAUAACGUGGUUGUUGUAACUUAAAAAUGCUGACUCACUGGCACUGUGUGCCAACACAAAUGUUGCUGCGGAAAUCAAUCAUCAUGAGAGCCUGGCGAGAUAUAACCCCACAGUGGCGCAGGCUUUGAAUGGGCCUCUUUGGUCAUUCCAAGUUUCUUCUUCAGACAAUUCGCCCGGAAACUUCCUUCUUGUCAGGUUUUCCAGAUCCAAAACCACAGAACUGCUGGAGAUUCCUUGACGUGUACACGGGCAAAACAGAGCAAGCAAGAGUACUGGUCAUCCUUGCUGGCCAUUCUGUUUCUGAACUGGGCCAGAAUGAAGCAUCCUACCCUAACAACAGUCCAAAACUCUGCUGGAAUUUGGACUAGCAUCCAAACUCAAGGCACAGGCUCUUCUCUAAAUAAAAAUAACUCAAUCACAAGCUAUUUUGGGGUGGUGACUUUCAGACAAGAAAUGUAGGGCUUACACAGGUUUUUACUUCUGUCAAAUACAUCUGGAUGCUGUACUCCUUCCUGCCGAUACUCUGAACUUGC